UCGAGAUGAGUUUUUGGGGUGGCCGGUAACCAUGAACCAUACCAUCCCUUUCCUCGUUUAACGGAUGAUAAUUUGUACUGUGACUGAUUGUCCUGGCUCUGCAAAAUGUUUAGACCUUCCCUCUGCUUUGGCAUGAGCCAUAACCAUGGAUGCUGGCGAAGAUGGUCAGUGGUAUUCAGAGCAUUGGGGCGAGCUGGUAUCUAAGAAAGCAUUCUCUCUCUAGAACGGGAAAGCCCUAAGGCCGUGAAACUACUGUUUCGGCAGCGUUUCUCAUGUCUUCUCCAUCUCAUGAUUUGCAAGUUGUAGCAAUGGGAACUGGAACCAAGUGUCUUGGGAGCUCACGUUUGAGUCGAUAUGGUGAUGUUGUGAAUGAUUCACAUGCAGAAACUAUUGCAUGAAGAUGUCUCGUGAGGUUUGACUUGUUUGCAGUUUAACAAUUUUGGUUUGCUUGGGGUGACUACAAACAUCACUUGGUGCGAAAUCUCAAGGUUGUUCUAUGCAGAGAUUGUGUGUCUCAAUGAAGCCUACAAGAGAAAAGAACAUCUCGAAUGUCAACAAUUGGGGAUUGAUGAGAACUUAGACUUGCUGUUAGAACUUGUUGGUGAUGUGUCUGGUCAAGCAAAAUAUAGAAUGGAGCCAGGCUACCGGUUACAUCUAUAUAUCUCUCAAUUGCCUAGUGGGGAUGCUUCCAGUUCCCCUUUGUUGCCAACAAGGGAUUUGCUCCAGCCAGCAGGGAUUUCACACUCUUGUUUCAAAGAUCGAAGUAACAGUAGUGAUAAUCAGGAAGUACAUCCAAAUCAUGGUCUUUGUAGAUCGCCUGACAGUAAUCAUAGCUAUUAUGACAAUAACUGUGAAUCUUCAGGAAAAUGCUCUGCUGAAUUUUGGGAGAACUUUUCUAAAACUGGAGUCCAAACACCAUACAGGGGAGUUGCUAAUAGUAGUGAUAAAGAAAUGGCAGACUUUUGCCUGGAGAUAGUAAUGGUGCCAUUUCUUCCGCUAUGACUCCUGAAUAUUUGUUGAGGGGGUUGGAGAAUAGUAGCUUACAUAGAACAGAUAAUUUGACAAAUGACGUAGAUGCUGUUUUUGUCGCUCCUUCCCAUUCGCUGGUUCAUUUGCAUGGCCUGGGAAUGGUUAGAAGAAAACCUGGUCGUGGUGAGAACUCUUUCUGUAAGCUGUUCAGACAAGAUUGCCUGCUGGAAUGUUGUUGGUCUUCAAGAUAUAUAUAUCUUCAAUCACAAUUGAGCAACCAGCUUGUGAGAAUGCUAAAGGUUGAAUCUAGAGAAUCACUUAGUGGAAUCUCUUUAUCAUCGUGUUCUUCCAAUAUCAAAGGAGUUGCACGGUCCUUUCAAACUGAACAAUGUCUGUACGCUAUUUCUAAGUUAUGAAAGAGGAGAAUGAAAAUCGAGCUAAUAUUUAUAUUUUGGCAGCUGAAGUUUUUUCGAGCUUCAGUUCCACCAAAGGAAUUUCUUCAAGUUCAAUGUUCCACUAGCAUACCUAUUUUAACAUGCGGAUAUUCGAUCUGUUGGAACAGAUUGGGGUUGCAUGAGGUCAUUCUUGGAACUUCCGGAAGGAAGCUAGGCACCACAGCAAAAGGGGCAUUAUCCGCAUCUACAGAGUCUUCUCUAUGCAACCUAUGUAGGGUCCCGGGAGGGGUGAGCUGGAAUGAAUGACUUCACUCUAGGAAACAGCUUUUGGAGGCUUUUGCUACACUUGUACGUGCUUCUUCCACGGGAUUCAAAGUGGAAAUGUUUUCUUACCUUGAGCUCAAGGUAAUAUGUGGUCUGAUUUUGUUAAUUGCUAGUUUUAUUGGCUUACUUUAUUACUUAUUCAAGUGUGUAAAUAGUAUCGUGUUCUUCUAUUUCAUAUAUAGCAAAGAAAUAUUACAGCAAAUAGUUAUCUUGGUCUGAUGUGUGUGUGUAAGCAAAGACAUGCAUGCUUGGGGUGCCUGCAUGCACACAGCUGCAUGUACCAAAUAUGGGCUUGUAGGUGGGCGCACUCAUGAAUCACAAUCAUGCACCAAGUAUGUAGAUACGUAUGGGCACAGACUCUUGUGUGUGUGUGUGUAAGAGAGAGAGAGAGAGAUCUUUCGUGCAUGUCUGAGUCAAUUUGCUCUGUACAGAGUAUGGCUAAGGAUUACAGAGCUGCUGUGAGAAUUUUUAAGAGCAGCCCAUGUUUCACAAACUGGUUUCAGAAGCCACCAGAUCUUGAGAUGUUCCUCUGUUCAUCUUGACUGUGAAGGUACUGAAGUCCCAAAUAAAUAUACUCCUUUUCUGGCCUGAUUAAUCUUGUUGUUUUAAUUUUCUGAACCUUGUAUUCGUUAUUUCCACAUAGCUGUCUGGCUUGUGUCUCAUAACCUUCAGUUGUAACAAAACCAAUAUCGAUUGGAAAAUUGGCAUUGGGGCUCAUUGUGCAACAAA